rnacentral:rRNA from 1 species
UGGAAAAGGAUGUGGGAUUUCGAAGACAACUAGGAUGUUGGCUCAGAAGCAGCCACACAUUCAAAGAGUGCGUAAUAGCUCACUAGUCGAGAGGUCCUGCGCCGAAAAUGUCCGGGGCUGAAACACGACACCGAAGCUUAGGAACAGAAAUGUUGGUAGAGGAGCAUUGUUAGCGGAACGAAGCCAUACCGGAAGGAGUGGUGGACUGCUAAGAAGAGAGAAUGCCGGAAUGAGUAGCGAGAUUGAAGUGAGAAUCUUCAAGGCCGAAUAUCUAAGGUUUCCAGGGUAAAGCUGAUCUGCCCUGGGUAAGUCGGGACCUAAGGCGAGGUCGAAAGACGUAGCCGAUGGACAACAGGUUGAAAUUCCUGUACUGCGAUAUAUCAGAAAUGUGGGGACACAGAAGGAAAGUGUGAGCCGGGAAAGGAAAGACCGGUGCAAGCACAGGAGGAGAGAUACAGGCAAAUCCGUAUUUCAAUCCAAUGGUGUUACGCGGAGCGAACAAAAGUAGCGAAGCACACAGACCAUCUGUCGAGAAAAGCCGCUAUUGUGUAUACCGUACCCGUACCGUAAACCGACACAGGUGGAUGAGGAGAGAAUCCUAAGGCCGGCGGGAGAAGCAUUGUUAAGGAACUCGGCAAAAUGACCCCGUAACUUCGGGAGAAGGGGUGCCCACGGGAGUGGGCCGCAGAGAAUAGGCUCAAGCAACUGUUUAGCAAAAACACAGGUCUAUGCGAAACCGAAAGGUGAGGUAUAUGGGCUGACGCCUGCCCGGUGCUGGAAGGUUAAGAGGAGAUGUUAGAGCAAUCGAAGCAUUGAAUUUAAGCCCCAGUAAACGGCGGCCGUAACUAUAACGGUCCUAAGGUAGCGAAAUUCCUUGUCGGGUAAGUUCCGACCCGCACGAAAGGCGUAAUGAUUUGAGCGCUGUCUCGACAAUGCACCCGGUGAAAUUGAAAUACCAGUGAAGAUGCUGGUUACCUGCGCCAGGACGGAAAGACCCCAUGGAGCUUUACUCUAGCUUGAUACUGGGAUUCGGUAUUGCAUGUACAGGAUAGGUGGGAGACGAAGAGGUGAUGACGCCAGUUGUCACGGAGUCGAUGUUGGGAUACCACCCCUGCAGUACUGGGUUUCUAACCUGCGGCCGUGACCCGGCCGGGGGACAAUGUCUGGUGGGGAGUUUGACUGGGGCG